rnacentral:rRNA from 1 species
AGACAGCAGCAGCCACGGUAAUACGAAGGGGGCUAGCGUUGUUCGGAUUUACUGGGCGUAAAGGGCGCGUAGGCGGACUGAUAAGUCAGGGGUGAAAUCCCAAGGCUCAACCUUGGAACUGCCUUUGAUACUGUUUGUCUUGAGUUCGAGAGAGGUAAGUGGAACUGCGAGUGUAGAGGUGAAAUUCGUAGAUAUUCGCAAGAACACCAGUGGCGGAGGCGGCUUACUGGCUCGAAGCUGACGCUGAGGCGCGAAAGCGUGGGGAGCAAACAGGAUUAGAUACCCCCGUAGUCCCUGUCUCUUAUAC